rnacentral:pre_miRNA from 1 species
GAUUCCAAAUGAAAAAGUAAUCAACAACAAAGUUGUAUAACUCAUCAAUGUCUACAGUUUUUGUUUUGGUCAUUUCUUCAUCCGACAAAGUGAUAGUAACAUUGUUCAUAAAAUUGACAUCUCUCUCAUAUAGUUUAUGAAACCAUAUAAGAGGUAUGUCCGAUUUGUAAACAAUUUAACUAUCACUUUGUGGGAUAAACGAAUGAUCAAAACAAAAGUUGUAGACAUUGAUGAGUUAUACAACUUUGUUGUUGUUGACCUUUUUAUUUGAAAUC